rnacentral:rRNA from 1 species
AGUGAACGCUGGCGGUAGGCCUAACACAUGCAAGUCGAACGGCAGCACAGUAAGAGCUUGCUCUUACGGGUGGCGAGUGGCGGACGGGUGAGGAAUACAUCGGAAUCUACUUUUUCGUGGGGGAUAACGUAGGGAAACUUACGCUAAUACCGCAUACGACCUACGGGUGAAAGCAGUGGAUCUUCGCACCUUGCGCGAUUGAAUGAGCCGAUGUCGGAUUAGCUAGUUGGCGGGGUAAAGGCCCACCAAGGCGACGAUCCGUAGCUGGUCUGAGAGGAUGGUCAGCCACACUGGAACUGAGACACGGUCCAGACUCCUACGGGAGGCAGCAGUGGGGAAUAUUGGACAAUGGGCGCAAGCAUGAUCCAGCCAUACCGCGUGGGUGAAGAAGGCCUUCGGGUUGUAAAGCCCUUUUGUUGGGAAAGAAAAGCAGCAGGUUAAUACCCCGCUGUUCUGACGGUACCCAAAGAAUAAGCACCGGCUAACUUCGUG